CAACAAACAGGAACGUGGCAGGCCACUGAUUGUCAUUUAUCAUUAUAGUGGUUCAACAACAUGAUCCGAGA
rfam:Angomonas deanei Cont9406, whole genome shotgun sequence.